rnacentral:rRNA from 1 species
CCCGCUGAAUUUAAGCAUAUUAAUAAGCGGAGGAAAAGAAACUAACAAGGAUUCCCCUAGUAAUGGCGAAUGAAGCGGGAACAGCUCAAAUUUAAAAUCUCCGUUGCUUGCAACGGCGAAUUGUAGUUUCGAGAAGCACUUUCUCGGCGGAUCCGAGGUCGUCCAAGUUGCUUGGAACAGCACGUCGUAGAGGGUGAAAACCCCGUCUGCGGCGACCUCGGUCGUUCACGAUGUGCUUUCGACGAGUCGGGUUGUUUGGGAAUGCAGCCCAAAAUGGGUACUAUGAACUGAGCAUGCGUAAAACCUUGCGCUUA